rnacentral:rRNA from 1 species
UGGGGAAUAUUGGACAAUGGGCGCAAGCCUGAUCCAGCCAUGCCGCGUGAGUGAUGAAGGCCCUAGGGUUGUAAAGCUCUUUCACCGGUGAAGAUAAUGACGGUAACCGGAGAAGAAGCCCCGGCUAACUUCGUGCCAGCAGCCGCGGUAAUACGAAGGGGGCUAGCGUUGUUCGGAUUUACUGGGCGUAAAGCGCACGUAGGCGGACUUUUAAGUCAGGGGUGAAAUCCCGGGGCUCAACCCCGGAACUGCCUUUGAUACUGGAAGUCUUGAGUAUGGUAGAGGUGAGUUGAAUUCCGAGUGUAGAGGUGAAAUUCGUAGAUAUUCGGAGGAACACCAGUGGCGAAGGCGGCUCACUGGACCAUUACUAACGCUGAGGUGCGAAAGCGUGGGGAGCAAACAGG